AAUUCGCCCUUAAGCAAUUGGGGCUACCGAAAGGGCUGCUAAUACCCAAUAAUACUAUAGGUGCAAAAGCACUUGUGGUCAAAUGCUAGGAAUAUCUGUUCCUUGUGCUUAAAGAGGGGUUAAUGUCCUAUCAGCUAGUUGGUGGGGUAAUGGCCAUACCAAGGCAAAGACGGGUAGCCGGCUUGAGAGGGUGGUCGGCCACACUGGGACUGAGACACUGCCCAGACUCCUACGGGAGGCUGCAGUCGAGAAUCUUUCGCAAUGCCCGAAAGGUGACGAAGCGACGCCGCGUGUGGGAAGAAGGCCUUCGGGUUGUAAACCACUGUCGGGAGUUAGGAAAUGCAGGUGCGUUAAUAGCGCACUUGCUUGACUAAGGCUCCAGAGGAAGCCACGGCUAACUCUGUGCCAGCAGCCGCGGUAAUACAGAGGCGGCAAGCGUUGUUCGGAAUUAUUGGGCGUAAAGAGCACGUAGGCGGCCUUGCAAGUCAGUUGUGAAAGCCUUCCGCUUAACGGAAGAACGGCAUCUGAUACUACAGGGCUUGAGUACGGGAGGGGAGAGUGGAACUUCUGGUGGAGCGGUGAAAUGCGUAGAUAUCAGAAGGAACGCCGGCGGGAAAAGCGACUCUCUGGUCCGAAACUGACGCUGAGUGUGCGAAAGUAGGGGGAGCAAACGGGAUUAGAUACCCCGGUAGUCCUAGCCGUAAACGAUGGGCACUAAGUAGAGGGGUUUUGAUUAUUUCUCUGCCGGAGCUAACGCAUUAAGUGCCCCGCCUGGGGAGUACGGCCGCAAGUAAAAACUCAAAAGAAUUGACGGGGGCUCGCACAAGCGGUGGAGCAUGUGGCUUAAUUCGAUGAACGGAA
rnacentral:rRNA from 1 species